GGCGAUAUGGCCGAGCGGUCUAAGGCGCUAGAAUCAGGAGCUUCUUGAGUUCUAUCUAGUCCGAAAGGGCGUGGGUUCGAAUCCCACUGUCGUCA